rnacentral:tRNA from 1 species
ACGCCCGUAGCUCAAUUGGAUAGAGCUUUGGUCUACGGAACCAAAGGUUGCAGGUUCGAGUCCUGCCGGGCGUACCA